UAAUCGCUUCAUUUAUAGUGCUAGGGUC
rnacentral:piRNA from 1 species